GCAGGGCGGCAUUAGGCAAUCGCUGUGGGCUGGAGGAGAGCAAAUGAAUCCAGGCUUUUUUCUUCACGUCGACCCCUCUGCCCGCUGACCCAGGGGAGACAGGAUUAAUUUAUCUUUCUGGGCUUGAGAUAUUAAAUAAGCAAUCACUGCCCUCAUCCAAAGCCGGUGGGUGUGUUCCUCGCCCAAGGAAUUCCAGAUUAUGCCAAGAGACCAGUGUCCUGAAUAACAGUGUUGUGGGAAGGGAGCCGCACAGACCUCAUGGAGACCUCAUCGUGUCCUGGGAGCCUGCAUGACGCCCUUGACCCUGUUCUGAGUGUG
rnacentral:lncRNA from 1 species